rnacentral:rRNA from 1 species
UGGAAGCGCAGUGAGAUGGGGAGGAGUAGUACGGGAGGUGGUAGCGUGAAGCGGAAUGGAUAGGGGUAAAGGGUGCGGAGGCUGGGUUGUAAGACAGGUGAGAAAGACCCUGGGUUAACGUGGGAACUGCAGUGGUGGCUGCAAAGCUAGAGGGCGGCAGAGGGGGAUGGAAUUCCGCGGGUAGCAGUGAAAUGCGUAGAUAUGCGGAGGAACACCGAUGGCGAAGGCAAUCCCCUGGGCCUGCACUGACGCUCAUGCACGAAAGCGUGGGGAGCAAACAGGAUUAGAUACCCCGUAGUC